GACGAACGCUGGCGGCGUGCUUAACACAUGCAAGUCGAACGGAAAGGCCCUGCUUUUGUGGGGUGCUCGAGUGGCGAACGGGUGAGUAACACGUGAGUAACCUGCCCUUGACUUUGGGAUAACUUCAGGAAACUGGGGCUAAUACCGGAUAGGAGCUCCUGCUGCAUGGUGGGGGUUGGAAAGUUUCGGCGGUUGGGGAUGGACUCGCGGCUUAUCAGCUUGUUGGUGGGGUAGUGGCUUACCAAGGCUUUGACGGGUAGCCGGCCUGAGAGGGUGACCGGCCACAUGGGGACUGCGAUACGGAGCAGAAUCCAACGGGAGGCAGCAGUGGGGAAUAUUGCAGAAUGGGCGGAAGCCUGAUGCAGCAACGCUGCGUGCGGGAUGACGGCCUUCGGGUGGUAAACCGCUUUCGCCGGUGACGAAGCGUGAGUGACGGUAAUGGGUAAAGAAGCACCGGCUAACUACGUG
rnacentral:rRNA from 1 species